rnacentral:rRNA from 1 species
GACGAACGCUGGCGGCGUGCCUAAUACAUGCAAGUAGAACGCACAGUUUAUACCGUAGCUUGCUACACCAUAGACUGUGAGUUGCGAACGGGUGAGUAACGCGUAGGUAACCUGCCUGGUAGCGGGGGAUAACUAUUGGAAACGAUAGCUAAUACCGCAUAAUAUUAAUUAUUGCAUGAUAAUUAAUUGAAAGGUGCAAUUGCACCACUACCAGAUGGACCUGCGUUGUAUUAGCUAGUAGGUGAGGUAACGGCUCACCUAGGCGACGAUACAUAGCCGACCUGAGAGGGGGAUCGGCCACACUGGGACUGAGACACGGCCCAGACUCCUACGGGAGGCAGCAGUAGGGAAUCUUCGGCAAUGGACGAAAGUCUGACCGAGCAACGCCGCGUGAGUGAAGAAGGUUUUCGGAUCGUAAAGCUCUGUUGUAAGGGAAGAACGGGUGUGAGAGUGGAAAGUUCACACUGUGACGGUAUCUUACCAGAAAGGGACGGCUAACUACGUG